rnacentral:rRNA from 1 species
GACGAACGCUGGCGGCGUGCCUAAUACAUGCAAGUAGAACGCUGAAGCGAGGAGCUUGCUCUUCUUGGAUGAGUUGCGAACGGGUGAGUAACGCGUAGGUAACCUGCCUUGUAGCGGGGGAUAACUAUUGGAAACGAUAGCUAAUACCGCAUAACAAUGGAUGACACAUGUCAUUUAUUUGAAAGGGGCAAUUGCUCCACUACAAGAUGGACCUGCGUUGUAUUAGCUAGUAGGUGAGGUAAUGGCUCACCUAGGCGACGAUACAUAGCCGACCUGAGAGGGUGAUCGGCCACACUGAGACUGAGACACGGCCCAGACUCCUACGGGAGGCAGCAGUAGGGAAUCUUCGGCAAUGGGGGCAACCCUGACCGAGCAACGCCGCGUGAGUGAAGAAGGUUGUCGGAUCGUAAAGCUCUGUUGUAAGUCAAGAACGGGUGUGAGAGUGGAAAGUUCACACUGUGACGGUAGCUUACCAGAAAGGGACGGCUAACUACGUG